UUGGGAACAAAAUUUCCAAAGUAUAAAAUCAUAAAGAAGAGGGAGUGAUAAAUACUCAGUAGUCUAUAGUUAAAGGACCUCUCAGAUGAGCCUACCUAGCUGGUUUUAGCUACUCUACCACGCUUAUUCUUUUUCCUGAUUAAAUAACAUAAAUGACAUUGUGUAAAUGUAUAUAGCUAUGUUAUAUUACAAUAUAUAGCCCUAAUAUUUGUAUGGACUGCACUUCAGGUUGGAACAAACAGCUUCCCAACUGCUUCUACAUUCUCCACUUUUACCAUCACAGCACUUGCAUACAAGCCCAAGAGUUGAAUAAGUUGAACCCCUUGAGUACCCUAUAUAUAUCAACAUACAUUUUACAUUUAUAUAUGCUGUAAAUAUAGGAACAAAACAUAAAAAAUAAAUAAAACAAGAGAGCAAAGUUAGAUGAAAAAUGUAUAUAUCCUUUUAUGUGCAUCAACUUCAAUGCCAUUUCUCAAUUAGAUUAAGAGUAAUCUAUUUUGAGGCUUAGAGAUUAUUGGAUUAAAUUUUACUUUUCCUUAAAUAGUUUUUUCCAUACACAUAGAAAUCCAAUUUUUGAUAUAGUUAACAACUCAUUCAUAAACCAAAUAAGUUAAGUUAGUUGGGAUCCCACUGGACACUAUUUUCUUAUAUAUAUUAAAAUACAUCUUUACACUUAAAUUUAAAUCAUCUAUAAUCUAUUUAUUGUCAUUUUCAAAUAAAAAAUUCUUCUGAUUACUGAUUAUAAAGUAAGCAUAAAAUUAUUCUAUACAUUAUACAUACAAAGAGAGAUUCUCCCUUAAAAUUUACCUUUUCUGUGGAUGGUUAGAACCCGAGUGGCUUCCACACCAUUUAGGUUAGGGUGAAUUAUUAAGAGACAAGCAAAAAAGA
rnacentral:lncRNA from 1 species